UACGUAGGGUGCGAGCGUUGUCCGGAAUUACUGGGCGUAAAGAGCUCGUAGGUGGUUUGUCGCGUUGUUCGUGAAAACUCACAGCUCAACUGUGGGCGUGCGGGCGAUACGGGCAGACUUGAGUACUGCAGGGGAGACUGGAAUUCCUGGUGUAGCGGUGGAAUGCGCAGAUAUCAGGAGGAACACCGGUGGCGAAGGCGGGUCUCUGGGCAGUAACUGACGCUGAGGAGCGAAAGCGUGGGGAGCGAACAGG
rnacentral:rRNA from 1 species